CACGCAGGCGGUUUGUUAAGUCAGAUGUGAAAUCCCCGGGCUCAACCUGGGAACUGCAUCUGAUACUGGCAAGCUUGAGUCUCGUAGAGGGGGGUAGAAUUCCAGGUGUAGCGGUGAAAUGCGUAGAGAUCUGGAGGAAUACCGGUGGCGAAGGCGGCCCCUGGACGAAGACUGACGCUCAGGUGCGAAAGCUGGGAGCAAACA
rnacentral:rRNA from 1 species